rnacentral:tRNA from 2 species
CGCGGGGUGGAGCAGUUUGGUAGCUCGUCGGGCUCAUAACCCGAAGGCCGUAGGUUCGAAUCCUGCCCCCGCAA